CUGAUACAAAUUAAAGUUGAAAGACAUUACUAAUACAACUAACUAAAUUAAGGUGCUACGAAUAAAAUUAAACCCAAAAACUUAGUAUGUAAAUUUGGAAAAUAAUAUAUGAAUAUUUGGCUUGUGGAGGAAUAAUUCAAAUAUGAACUUUGCUUCGGUGUCCAAUUACAUCACUGUAUCUAUCGUGCUAAUGAGACUCUACUUUUCUUGUAUCCCAUGAAAGGAAUCCGAAUUUUGAAAGGAAAGAAGUAUAAAAGAAAGAAUAAAGGGAAUUGCAAGAAGAAAGAAGCUUUUUACUCAUAAUUCACAGCUAAUCCUUCUCAUAACCAGUAAUAAUCUGCAUGCCAUGUUCCACUUUAUUCGUAUUCUCCUCCUAACGCGAUCAUAAAGCUUCUCUAGUUAAAAAGUGAAGUUCCCCAUAAGACUUCCUCUGCCUUCUCCUUCUCCUCCAGUCUUUUCUAGCACUGUACCUGCCCUCUGCAUUCAGAUAACCAAAAGAAUGGCAAAAAACACUGGGGUUUUGAUUUGUCUGUUGAUAAUGGCCAUGGACAUUGUAGCUGGCAUACUUGGCAUUGAAGCUGAAAUAGCCCAGAACAAGGUAAGUUAAGAGUUGAACUAAAAUUGCGUAUUGCUACAGAUUUGCGUUGAUGAUGUUGGUCUUUGAUGAACAGGUGAAGCAUUUAAAGAUGUGGAUUUUUGACUGUAGAGACCCAAGCUAUCAAGCUUUCAAGCUUGCGUUGUCAGCAGCAAUCCUUAUGGCCCUUGCUCAGGUUAUUGCUAAUUUGUUUGGCAAGUGCAUUUGCAUGUGGUCUAGGGAAGAUUUUGCCAAGGCAUCUGCUAACAAGCAAUUAGCCGCAGCCUCCCACAUCUUCUCAUGGUAAAUAUGGAAUCCCCACCUCUCUUGCAUAUCAGAACCCAUCAUGUGCUUCCACUGCCAGUAUGAUGAAAAAAAAAAAUGAAAAUUAUUUUCAGAAACCACCUUAGUGAAUAAUGAUUUCAGUUUCCAGGAUGGUAUCAUAAAUUUAUAAUCAACCUGAAAAUGAUAUUUUUCAUGUUUAGCACCUUCAAGGCAUAUAGAUGCUGUAGGGAAUACAUUCUGAUGUAUAUUGUGGCAACUCAGGAUUAUAUUG
rnacentral:misc_RNA from 1 species